rnacentral:rRNA from 1 species
UACGGAGGGUGCAAGCGUUAUCCGGAUUCACUGGGUUUAAAGGGAGCGUAGGUGGGCUGGUAAGUCAGUGGUGAAAUCUCCGGGCUUAACUCGGAAACUGCCGUUGAUACUAUCAGUCUUGAAUAUUGUGGAGGUAAGCGGAAUAUGUCAUGUAGCGGUGAAAUGCUUAGAUAUGACAUAGAACACCGAUAGCGAAGGCAGCUUGCUACACAAUUAUUGACACUGAGGCUCGAAAGCGUGAGGAUCAAACAGG